GAAAAUGCCACGUCACUACCGUCCUCCUCCCUCGCAUGGAUCAGUCCGCAUGUUCAUGGGGCAUUUUUUAUGGAAUAUGUUGAGCAAACCUGGAGAAGCGUCAGCUCAAGAUAUUAUUGUUGUCAUUGCUGUGGAUCUUUACCUGAUACACUGACUUGGCUCGGGACCAGCACUCCUGCUGUUGGACAGAAAGACAUCAACUUGAGAUAUGACUGCACUAUGCUGUUGCUGGUGACUCCAGUUAAUUCUACAAGACAUGCUGUGACACCAGGAGAGAUGAGUCCUCCGUCACAGAUGGUGUGGUCAGUGAAGAUGGUCGCCUGCAGGUUCAAGCUCAUUGCAUCUCCAACCCACAUCCACUGCCACUGUACUUAAGGGAAGUUAAAGACUUUCUUCUGCACCUACAUUUGGAUCACCUCGAUCCAUGACAGUCAUUCAGGCAGUGAUGCCUGGACUGGAAACAAGCCAUCCUUAAAAUAAUACAACAUUCCAGCUCAUGUGUUGGAAUGGAAAACAAAUGUGUUGUUUAAAUUAGAGACUGC
ensembl:lncRNA